GGGGUUGACUGGUUUUGACAGCAAGGAUAGUAGAAAAGUAAGCAUGUCGUGUAAUGAAUAUCAACACGUUAAAAGGUUGUUCAAAACAAUAAUUGGCGAAAAUAACUACGCUCUCGCUGCUUAAUCGAAUAGAGUAGAUGUAAGCUUUAUCGCGGUCUAUAGCAUCGCGACGAGACGUUCUGCGGAUGGACAAGUCCGGUUCCGGUUCGAUUAACAGGACGCACGCAAUUCCGGAAUAGCUUGAAUGGAACUUCGACGUUCGAGUGAAAUUUAGAAGUUAAGAUUGUCGUUUGGGCGCUUUUCCUCUGACGCAAUUCGAAAAUCAAUGGAAAGAUAAACAUGUAGAAAGCUUUUUGGCUACUUGUUUGGACGCGGGUUCGACUCCCGCCAACUCCACGA
rnacentral:tmRNA from 1 species